UCAUCGUUUUGGGUGUCGUCAAUCCGCCGGCUGACAGCGCCGAUAACUCCAUAGUAGCAAGGUUUGACUCCAUCCCCUCUUCACCUUCAGCGUCUUCCUCCUCCUCCACUUAAAUUAGCAUUUUGAGCCCCUCUCUGGGCAGCGAUGGCCGAGGCUGAAGGGUCCGCCACACCUGAAACACCGUCCCUCCUCCCUCCGUUUAAGAUACUCCGAGUAUGGUAGAUUGCGAACAUUCCGAUCACUUCCGCCGCUGUUAGCCAGCCCAUUAUUCCGCCCUUGGGUCGCAUCUUUCUUAACAGACCCCAUGCUUUCAGCCGAUCCUCCUCGCACCGUCGCAUCAUGAUUUGGGUUGAUUCGCGUCACCGAACCCGUCGAUUUUCCCCAAGAAUUUUGAUUCUUGGAUAUCCAUCCUCCUAUCGUCUUCGAAGUCGUGCACAACUUCUCCACAUCUCUCGCCACCCGCAUGGCGGUCAUCAAAUCCGGUGGGUCAUGUGGUCGGACAUGAUCGCCCACCUCUUCCCGUAAGCCAGACAAAAAAUACCCCAUAAUAUGCUCCUCGGGUAUCUGGGUCGUUUGCCCUACCAGAACUUCGAAGUCGCGUAUGUAUUCCUCCACCGGCCCCUCCUGACGUAUGGUCGAGAGCCUCUCGUACACCGUUCCUUGCGUUCCUCCCCCAAAUCGGAUACCCAAAGCCCUCUUCAACCCAUCCCAAGAAAGGUUCUUGGUUUUCUCUCGCCAGAAUCGGAACCAGCUUCCGGCGUAGCCAUCCAUGCUAAUAAAGGCCAAUUCCAACUUCUCCUCCUCCACCACCUUCUAGACUUCGAAAAAUUUCUCCGCUCGACCUAUCCAUACCCAAGGUUCGCCCCCCUCAAAGACUGGUAAUUCGACUCGCUUCCUCCAUUGGCUCAAACCUCCUUGGUUACCUUCUCCGCCUCUUCCUCCUCCGCCGUUUGGUCCACCCCCAUUAUCGUUCACUGACGACUGGUAAUGUGGUUACGUUCUCCAAGCGCUCAAGAUUGCUUGGAUGUUAGGUUCCUGAAUUGGGAACCUAAUUGCAGCUCUCACUUUCACUCCAAGAAACACAGAAAGAUUGGGAAAACUGAAUGGUAUUCAUAGUAUAAUGUCUGUACACAUAGAACACAGAGGCAUAACCCUCUUCAACAGCCCUGCAAAGAAAUAUUCCUGCCAUUGGUCUUCUGGUGUUUUAUAUGUUUGUGACAACCAUAUCUUUUCCCCACUCAAAACAGUUGCAUCUUCUACUUUGUUUCCAACCAUAAUAGUCACCCUGUUCCCACCAUAUUCUGCUUUCUUUCCUCUGUCUUCACCCUUCUUCACUCUUGUGACAUACACAUCACAACCUCCCCCACUAUCUCCCCUAGAAACAAAAGCUUUUGCCACUUCCUGGGCAGCAACACUAACAACUUUCUCAGUAGCAGCUUCUCUGACUUCUGCAGUUUGGACUAAUUUCUCCAAAACAAAAUCUCUAUCUCUUUCUCCGAACCUCCUUAUCAACACCUUUGUCAACUCUGUCCAAGAAGGACUCUUGGUUUUAUAUUUCCAGACCCUAAGCCAAUAGAUUGCGACUCCCCCAUACUAGUGUAAGCCAAUCUUAAUAUUUCCCUUGCUGCCACAUUUUGGAUCUCCAAAACUUUCUCUGCUCUAGAUAUCCAUCCCUCUGGAUCAAUCCCCUCAAAAGUACGCAAUCUUACAUGCUUCCUCCACUUCCUCAAGUUACUGGAAACGCCACCCUUCCCCAUCCAUCCUCGCGACUAUCCCCGAGCUCGAUGAGUAUCGCCCCCACAUCGGACCCCCUUUUCCUGCCAUUCUGCCACUUCCGCAUGGAACAAUUCCUACCCGUUCCACAUCUUGUGCUCACGCCAUCACCGUUAACAAAUGUCGUGGGUCGUGCGGCCUUACUAAAUUUCGCAGCCCCUCUUGCAACCCAGCAAAAAAAAAAAUCCCAACAAUUUAUCCUCACUCACGCCUGAUGCUUGUGCCACCAAAAUUUCAAACUCUUGGAUGUAUUCGUCGAUGCUCCCCUUCUGUCGCACCGUCGCCAGCUUCUCAAAAACGGUGCCUCGAUUCAGUCCGCCGAACCUCCACGUCAGCGUUUCCGUGAACAUCUUCCAAUUCGGAUGUCUGGUUUUCUUCCGCCAGAAGCGGAUCCAAUAGUAGCUCGUGCCUCUCUCCAUACAAAUAUAUACCAGCUCCAUCUUCUCCCUCUCCGUCACGUUCUAUAGAUCAAAAAAUUUCUCUGCCUUCGCGAUCCAACCCAUGGGGUCCGCUCCUUCGAACGUUGGUAGUUCAACGCGCUUCAUCCAGCUACGUUGCACGUCUGCUUCGUCCUCUUCCGCUUCGUCCUCCAAACUCUCUGGUGGUCGCUGUUUGCGUUCAAUGUUGACGAAAUCGUGAAUUCCUUCGGAGCUCCGAUAUUGGUUCCUGGUUCGUCCUCCACGAGCACGGCCAAACGCUUGUAGUUUGCAAGUUACCGAUCUCAUCCCCGCUCUUAACUCUUCUACCGACGACUCAAUCACAAUCAACCUUCCCUCCAUUCUUCUUCUUCACACGCGUUAUGUUCGCUCCUCCGAUGAAGAUCCGGCAGGUCGGACCAAAUUUAUUAGGUUCCUUUGUUCAAGAGACCAAACAAAACACACUCUUCUCACAAUAAUACUCGAAACAGCCAAAGAUGAAAGUAUGUGUAUGUAUAUUAUUGAAUCUGUAAUGUAUAUAAAGAAGAAAAUACAAGUAAAUGUUCCCCAA